rnacentral:rRNA from 1 species
CCUACGGGGGGCAGCAAUUAGGAAUCUUGCGCAAUGGGGGAAACCCCGACGCAGCGACGCCGCGUGAAGGAAGAAGGCCUUCGGGUUGUAAACUUCUUUUAAGAGGGAAGAAGCGAUUGACGGUACCUCUUGAAUAAGCCCCGGCUAACUACGUGCCAGCAGCCGCGGUAAUACGUAGGGGGCGAGCGUUGUCCGAAGUUACUGGGCGUAAAGCGCGCGUAGGCGGGCUGUUAAGUCAGAUGUGAAAUCUCCGCGGCUCAACCGGGAAAGUGCAUCUGAGACUGGCGGUCUUGAGCGGUGGAGAGGGAAGUGGAAUUCCGGGUGUAGCGGUAAAAUGCGUAGAUACCGGGAGGAACACCGUGGGCGAAGGCGGCCUUCGGGGCUUCUCCUGACGCUGAGGGGCGAAAGCCUGGGGAGCGAACCGGAUUAGAUACCCGGGUAGU